GGAGCUCGGCCCGGGGGGAGCGACGGAUCUAACGGAAGGAAAAAAAACAAAAGAGGGAAAGAAGACGCGCACACUAGACUUGGCAUACUGACCCGAAAGAGAGGAAAAAAAUAGGAGAAUGGCAACGGAUAAUGUUUUGGGCAGAGGGAGAAUUAUAUAUAAAUAUAUAUAUAUGAAUAAAACUGCACUAUAAAAGAUGGUUUGUACUGACUGGACAAACAGAAAAAAAGGAUGUGUCAAGGAAAUGUUCUUGUUAGCUUUGUGAACCUUUUAUUUUUUACUUCUUUAUUUUUUUUAGCAACCAAUGCAAUCAAAAUAUGUUUUUUUUAGGUCUGUAUAAAUGUUGGCUACACACAAGAGACUAUAACCAUAUAAUGCACUAUAAAAAAAGAAAAGAAGACAGCAAUGCUAAAAUCACACUGCCCCAGAGUGAGCAUAUUGAUAGUUUUGUGAAAAUCAAUACACUACACUGCCCUGCAAACCCAAUGUGGAGAGAAGCCUGUCACGCUAAAGUUGCCUUACUCAGCUCUGUCCAUGUGUUUAUUUCACCUUCUGGCUAUCACCUAGCUUUUCAGCUGCUGCGCUUUCCAACAAAAAAAAAAGAUUGUCAGUGCAACAAUAAGUUGCCCGUGCAACAAUAGUCACUGUUGGUCUAUAUCUGUGGAAAAAUAAUAACUUGUGCUGCUUUCUGUACACUUGGAAAUGUUUAAGCUGUAAUUGUAUCAAUUAUUGUUUCUGACUAAAUGAAUAAUGUUGUUAAAUGCAAAAAUAAUCAAUUUGACCCCUUGACAUGACAGAGUGAGAUAUCAUGGUAGCUAGAGAGCCAAAUUUGGAGGUGCUUUUCCCCCUCCUCUGAAUAUUCUUGUGUUCUUUUAAAACAUACAUUCACUACAUAAAUCCUAUUAAGCUGCAUCUUUGUUGAGCUGCUAAAAAGCUAAGAACGGUGCUAUACCAUCCAAAGUGAAAUUGGAGGUCACUCUCCUACCAGCAGUGUAUGCACUUGUGUCGAAUGUUACAAAAAAUAUUUUGGUUUGAGACUAAUGGAAUCUGGACUUACGGUGUUAAGAUCACUUAAAUCUUUUAUGAAAAACUCUUGAUCAUAAAGCACUGUUGUAUCAUCCUUUCUAAACUUCUGAAUCUUUACAGAAUAAACAGAAUACUCACCAAGCAUUAACGCCUCCCCAUCUUCUUACACUCGGAGUUCUAGCGAGAUUCACACUUAAAAAACUGUCUGCAUAUUAAUUAGUUAAGGGUUGGCGGUGGUAGAAACAAUCAAAGCUUUUG
ensembl:lncRNA